rnacentral:rRNA from 1 species
UACGGAGGGAGCUAGCGUUGUUCGGAAUUACUGGGCGUAAAGCGCGCGUAGGCGGUUAUUCAAGUCAGAGGUGAAAUCCCGGAGCUCAACUCCGGAACUGCCUUUGAAACUAGAUAACUAGAAUCUUGGAGAGGCGAGUGGAAUUCCGAGUGUAGAGGUGAAAUUCGUAGAUAUUCGGAAGAACACCAGUGGCGAAGGCGACUCGCUGGACAAGUAUUGACGCUGAGGUGCGAAAGCGUGGGGAGCAAACAGG